GAUGAAGAACGUAGCGAAAUGCGAUAAGUCAUGCGAAUUGCAGAAUUUCCGUGAGUCAUCGAAUCUUUGAACGCACAUUGCGCCCACUGGUAUUCCGGUGGGCAUGCCUGUUCGAGCGUCAUUAUCCUCCCUCAAAACUCCUGUUUUGGUGUUGGGCCGCGUUGGUCACCUCCGACCAACGGGCCUUAAAGACAAUGACGGCGUCCGUGGGACCCUCUUCGCAGUGAGCUUUUGUUAGCGCGCGUUGAGUUUAAAGGACCUUCCGGGCCGGCCACCUUUUAUCUAUUUUACAAGGUUGACCUCGGAUCAGGUAGGAAUACCCGCUGAACUUAAGCAUAUCAAUAAGCGGAGGA
rnacentral:misc_RNA from 1 species